UGGUAUUUUUGGUAUGAGGCAUAGUGAUAUUGCCUUCUCUCUCACCCUACUCUAACAAGGUUUUGAUAUCUGGAGCUCAUAGGUGGGAGACAGCUAAUACAUACUUACAAGACAUUUAUUGCAUAGUCAAACCAUGGAUCGAGAGAAACAAGUCAAUAAGUCAAAUCAAGAUGUGCAUGUGUGGCGAAUGAAUGGUGUAUGGUGAUACUGAUGAAAACCAUGGUGAAAGUCUAAUUCUACGUUUGCUCUUUUGAGGGGAUACAUACCUUUCUUGCACUUUGAAGCUUUUUGAGGGGAAUGAGAUGCUCUAUAUUUUCUUUUUCUUUUCUCUCAGGUGGGUAUCUUGUACCCCUAAUUCUACUGUCGGAUACUUGUCCAUUUUUACCUCUCGUCUCACUUUUCUUUUCUUUCGAGGUUCCGGGCACUUGCCCCUUUUUUAUUUCCUCGUAUUUUUCUCUUCUCUCUCUCUUUUUUCUUUUAGAGCACUCACCCUCCUAGAAUAAUGUAGCAAGUGGUAGUAACCAAGAUAUCAAGAGCAUUUAUUUCACGGGGAAUAACAGGGAUAGGAUAAUGUUUUUGGCUAUUCUCUCCCGGAUAGGAGUAGAAUAAUUUUGGGUGAAUUGGAGAUGGAAAUGAAUGGAUGUAUGUAGAUGCGUACUUCCGGAGUAGAAGUAGAAUGUAUGAGUGAACAUGCAAGUGAAUCUUGAUUUUAACCGCAUGACAAGCUCCUAAGGGUCUACACAG
rnacentral:lncRNA from 1 species